UGUCUUUGUUGUGACUCAGACACUAUUAUUCUAUUGCCGGCAAUUUUCCACGUUUGGCCCCUCUCGAAACGUUGUCUAGGUGCGCUGUCGGUCAUCAAUAUGUAUCCGAGGCGAUAAUAAUUUAAGUAAUUUCUAUGGUUAUUGGUGGUAAAUGCAGCGACUUUAUCUCUGAUUUGAAUAAAUAGCGCGUAGUGGCAACGGAACGGAAAUAGUGUUUUGGCCGCCACGAUGUCCAAGUGACUUACACAUCGGUAUCUUCACUUCCGCUAGGUAACCGAACCUGAAUACUAAUCACAAAAGUACACAACGAGGCUGACUUUUUUAACGCACCUGACGGUGGUGUCGUUGUUUUAUAGUUGUGGCAACAGGCGAGAGUCAAUAAUCAACAUUGUUAAGUAAGCUGAUUAGGUGACAUCUGCACAUUUAUCCGGUGGUAUGUUAUAUCCACAAGGACAGAAGCGCAUUUCGGAGCGCGGCCAGAACUGGCCGCAGGAUUAACCAAGAAAAAGGACGAAGCGCUAGCUCGGAAUAGUCGUAAAUUAUAGCAUAAAAAACAGAUUUUUACUAAAGACUAAAAGUCUUUCCAUAAAAAGACAAAAGCUCGAGUCUAAAACACGUUUUUUGGUUCUCGAUUUAUUUACUAGCUUUAAAUAAAGUAAAAACUUCUCUUUUAUUAAAAGCAGAAUUGUCUUUUUCGUAAAAUUUUUGGCUCCAGAACACAAUUUUUUUGACUCGGUGAAUACACGUGGUUAGGUAUAGCUCAACAAAAGUUGGUUUUUUUUAAUGUGAGAAAAAUUAAAGGUUUUUUGGUAUCUAAAGUUACAAACGGUAAAUAAUCUGUAAUUUAUUAUUUGUUUUUGAAAAAAAAUUUUGGUAAUGGUAAUCAAUCAAUCGUGUGGACUCCUUGGAGCUAAGAUAGCGGCGUGGAUCCAGCUAUGAGAAAAACUGAAAAAAUGGCAUUUAACUACUAAAGACUUUUAUCUUGUUAUCUUCUGUUGAGAAGUUCUUAUCUCUGGUAUCUCACUUAUUUCUUCAUUUACCACAAAGUUGAAUAUUUCCGCCCGAGCUGAUGAAGCAACUUGGAAGCAAGAAUGCGAUCUUUGAUAACAAAAUUUGACAAUUCUGAAAAUUUUGACAAGCGGCAUGACCAAGAUCUUAUCUGGGACUUGGCACAUCAAUUAGAAUAUUUCUGUAGCACCAACAAAUAUUAGAUAAAUGAGCAAGAUUAGCGACGAUAUUCUCAUGCAUAUUGGAUGCCAUCGAGAAUCGUAUCGUUAUCAAAAUCUCGUCGAGUUAAUAAUUGAAUAAUAAUCGUAAUUAGCGACACUAAUUGUUUCACGUGCCGAGGAAUAUUCUCCAACCAAUUAAAAAUUGCAGAAAAUGAGAACUACAAACUAAGGACAAGGCAAUUACGAAUCCUUGCUAACAUCUUUAUUGAAAAUUUGAAUUUUAAAAACGCAACAUAAACAUGAAAUAAAAUAGUUCUAAACCCCAUCCUAAUGGUUCGUGUUAUUGCUUUCACUUGCUUUUAUUACCACAAAAGUGGUAAUAAAAGUCAAUCGACAACACCGGUGGUUUUAAAUUUAUGUAAAUUUAUGAAAAAUUUUACAACUUGUGGUUUCAUGUCUUAUUAAUUUCGAUUUGGUGGCAUCUCGACGUAAACUCAACACUUCAUUAAACGCAACUUUUGUGGAAAAUGGUGCAGCCGCGAGGUGUGUGGGUAUCAGCGAAAGUCCCGUUUCAUUCUAUUAAAGAGAACGCCGGGAGAAUAUAAAUAAUGACCCAGUCGAAUAAAUUCCAUUUAACCUAUUAGCAUCUUCAGCUGACCACGGUUCACUAGGACACGACAGGCAAAAGGUCAAGGCCUCCACAAGGCUAACUCCGGCGAGGAAAACUGCUUCCUCGAGCUAUACAGGGAGUUGUCGAGAAGUUAUCUCGCGCAAACACAUCCAAUUCAUUAAUAUUCCAUCGUUAUCGCUAAAUAACUAUUCCGAGUUAUAAUAAAUUAUUAAACAUAGUUUUAACAUUAAUUCGUUUUCUGCGUAAUUAGCCAUUAGCUUGGCAAAUUUAUGCCUCCUGGAUCUUGUUACUCUAUUUGGCUUUGGUUUCAUGAACUGACCUCAAAAAUUUUACCACUUGCCAACAAUUUUAGUUUUGUCCAUGAAUAUAAAUGCCAAAUUUGCAUUAUGAGUUAGUUUGAUAAAAAAAGUGGCAAAGUUUUCUUGUUAUCGAAACGACCUUCGAAAAGUCGCGAUUUCGGCGAUCGUGGAAACUUGUAGUCACCUCUAGGCUAUAUAGAUUGUCCAUUCUACUGGUUUAUUUAUGGUUAGGCUAGUAAUUGUGGCCAAUUUCCUGAGAUUUACGACUUUCCAAAUUCGAAGAGCAAUUACAAAUGAGUGGCAACAUCCUGAUGAUACAAUUUUUAACACAAAAGGAAGGAAGUCGGGAUUGAUUUAACGGGAGGUUUGACACCAGUAAUAAUCAAACUCCAAAAGGAUCUAGGGUGGACACAGGACCACGUUGAUCCGUUUAUUUAUUGUGCACAUUUUCAAUAUUUUUAUUUUUUACCAAAGAUAUGGACCGGUUUGAAACCGUGUCAAAAUUGGGUGCGUGAAAAUUUCGAAGGCCAGCUUGGUGGCGAGUUAUGGUUAUGACCCAAUGCGAUGCAAAAACGGAUGAUUUAGAGUGUAGCCCGAUUUCCGAUAUCUAAUCCUCGUCGAAAAAAGCCCGGUCCUGUUAACCUUGACAUUUGUCGGUUUUUUGCGAUUUUUGUGUAAAAACCAGCCUUGGCUCGUCGCUCGAAAUUUUUGCGUUGGGUUUACAGACGUAAAUAAAGUGCUAAUUGUAUAGUUAGCAUAAAGUACAUUUUCUUAUUUUAACAAAACGACUGUUGGCACUUGAGUCAAAUUACUCGGUGCGCCUCGUCGCGCACUUUCAACAUCUCGAUUGAAACUAGACAUACGUAGAUGUUAUCAGUGUGAUUCAUGGACGACACGAACGAAUGCACACUUGUGAUGAAAAAACCAAACUCAAAACACACGGCCACAACACCAUCCGGCGAUUAAUAACGAUUAUGGUGUGUGUGACGCAGCGCCGGACGAUACCAGACAAAGCUGUGGAAAAGUUUGGCGGGAAAUCGGGAUUUUGGAAACUGGGAAAAUUUCGAGUCAAGCUCCAUUUUUGGAAGAUUGCUCGUUUGGAGGCUCGUUUUGACAUAGGCAUGUGGCAACUUGUUGGUCAACGCAUAAUAGGAGCGAUAAUCAGGACUCCAAACGGCCCAAGACCACCACCACGUCACCAUCACUGCCACAUUAUGUCCUGCUCUUAAAAUAGAAGCUGUUAAAAAAAAUCAAUAAAUUGUAGAAAGCUUUUA